GAAAGAAGGCUGAAUGCAGGCGCAGCCAUUUUCUCCUACAUUGGAACUCAAUGGCCAAAAUGGGUUUCCUUUGUUCCUAAAGGGAUCUAAAUCUUGAUUUCAUCAGCCUUUUAUGGACUAUUUAAUACAUACAGUGUUUCUGUUUACAGGAUCUGAGAAGAAGGAAGAUGAAAUGUUGGAUGAUAUCCCUUUGACAUUUUUAAACUUUUUUUUCUCUUCCUGGAAACCAUCUUUGUCCCAGCAAAAUAGGUCAUGGCACACCCAUAUAACAGCAUUUUAUUCUUUAGUAAAAUGCUACUGAAUAAACAUUUUGCAUUUGAUUAUAUUAUAACAAACUAGACUAAAAAGAUUGAGACAGAGACAAAAAAAAACACAUGAAAAUUACCAACUGCUUUUAAGGCCCUGCCUUGUUCAGGGCCAAGCAUUAAUCAAUAAUAAACAAGGCAGGCCAUAGAGAAAAAGGACGAUUGGCCUUUUACAAAAAUGCUGAAUCACAGGUAUGAUUGAUGGGGUUUGUGGUUGUUUUAAUGCUCAUCCUGGUUUUGCCUCACUUUUUUU